rnacentral:lncRNA from 1 species
AUGCUAGGUGAGUAGCGUGCAUUUCAUGGCCCAUUUGGGGUGGUAGCUAAUUCCCAUGGUGAGGAAUUAGUGAGUGAGUCACUAUGUCUCAAAUGAGUGGGACUAGUGAGCUUGGUAGCCGUGCCUGGAUUUGGACGGUGAGGUUGAACUAUAUGUUCACAAAUAGUCGGUACCGCAUGCAUAGAGUCUCAUUGCAUAAUGAAUGUAUGGCAUAU